GUUUAAACUUAAUUUAUUUGCCUUGUAGAAUUCCGCAAGAUUAAAUGUGCAAAUACAUAAAUAAUAAUUGGGAAUUAUACACAAGUUAACAUUCUCUCUCUGUCUCUAUAUUUGUUUGAGUGAGAGUGAGAGUGAGUGUGUUACAGUCAAUCUAUUGUGUUGGUAACUUCCCUCAUAAAUCUAUCUACAGUCAAGUAUGCAUUUAGACAAAUACGAUAAAAUAUCAAUCUAAUAUGUGCAACCUUUCAUGUGUGGUUGUUCAAGACACACUGAAGGCAUGAUGCCACCAUAGGUUUGCAGAGAACUAUAUACAAUAUGCACACUGAAGGCAUGAUGCCACCAUAGGUUUGCAGAGAACUACAUACAAUAUGCACACUGAAGCUGCACACUUGAUUCAGGAUUCUCAUAGAUCAGAGACAGUUCCGUCUUGAGCUUUGCCUUGUUCAGCGUGGGAUAUGCCUUCACAGUGGCAUUCAGAGCAUCAGCAGGAAAUGAUUGGCAGUACCUUUCAAACAUAUUUCCUUGUGCUAAGGUAGCACUCACAAGGUGGCCAGUGAAAGAGAACCUCGCUUUGGUGUGAGCCAGGAUGAUGUCGCAGACCUCUUCAGACAGCCUCUGCUUCGCCUCUUCUGUCAAAGCCGUCCUUGGUCUGUCGUUUCCUGAUGGCUCUUGCAGCUGGUCAGAGUCUCUGAAUGCAAACAAACCAAUAAUGUGUUUGUUAGGCUGUGUAUAGUACUGUAGUCUAUGUGAUGCAAAUGUUCACACUUUAUCCAGUAAAAAUAUGUCAGCAUACCAACUUAAAAUGGGAAGGAAUGCAUAAUGUUAGUGUUAAACACUGUUUUUUUUAUCUAUUGUGUUGGUAACUUCACUCAUAAAUCUAUCUACAGUCAAGAAUGCAUUUAGACAAAUACGAUAAACUAUCAAUACAAUAUGGGCAACCUUUUAUGUGUGGUUGUUCAAGACACACUGAAGGCAUGAUGAGUAUACCCACUUAAAAUGGGCAGGGAUGCAUAAUGUUAGUGUUAAACACUGUUUUUUAAACUAUCCAUUGUGCCUCGCCUAACCAGGAUGUCCAGGGAGCACAGAGUAAAGCAUGCUAGAUUACACCACUGGCAAUAUAUUAUAAAAAAAUAACAUAUAUUAUAAAAAAAUAACACAAAUACAGUCUCCUUUCAUGCAUAUGUUCUCAUAACAAAGCUUUGCUUUGAGAAGGAUCAAAUAAUAUAAAUGUUAUCUUACCUAAUGGUCUGCACACUGCUUGUAAAGCUCUCGAGGGCCCAUGCAUCAAUGUCCUUCUUCUGGAGCUUCUGGUACAGAAUGUCGACGUGCGACCGCUUUUUUAUUAAUUUUGUUGAUUUUGUUGAGCCAUGUUGAAAUUAGCAAGUGACUUGAUCGAAGAAAGCCCUUUGCGCUCUUUGCCACAAUGACGCAAGCACGUUAGGGCGAGUCCCAAAUCCCUAUUGGAAAUGCAUUGAAGGCUCAUUUUCCGAAAAAAAAAGUUUUAACAUGACAGUCAAUGGGAGAAUCCUUGGGCGAUUUUCCACCUCAAUGAAUUCGCCCAGAGAGGCGGGACCAUUUGAAACGCGGCUUGAAUAUGACGAUUCUGAUUGGACAAUGACAGAUAAUAUGUCUAGAACACUGAAAACCACUUUUGCUGUGAUAGAAUUUGUUAGAAAAAAAAUCCUCUUUCUCCCAGUUGGUAGUGCGUCGCCCAAAUCGCCCCUAUACACCAUCCGCCCCUGCUCAGUGGGCCGGCCCUCACGUGAGUCAGUCAUCACGAUUGGUCUUUCCUUUACCUCUCAAACUACCUUACAAUUGAAUGUUCAUAAGCCCGAUUUUCUUGGGGGAAUUUUCUCGGGGGAAAAACCACCGAACCCCCGUUUUAAAAGGACUCUGACUUCUGGGCUACAGCCCCGAAUGUUUCCCAUUGCUUGCGACGCGCCUGUCAUUGUUGAUCAUUGAUCAGGUCACUGAUCCCUCUGGUGGCCAAACAUAUAUUUUUUUUCUAGGCUAAUUUUUUGUAACUGGGGUCAGGAUUAAUGGUUAUGAAACUUGGGAAUGGCUGUAAAUAGUAAUGAUUAUUUACUUCAAGUACAGAAAAAAGACUUUGAAAAAGAUUUUGGCCGGUCUUGGCCAAAAUGCCAGAGCUGAUUUCUUUGUCCUGUACUAAAUACUAGUAUGUUUAGUGCUACUUAUUAUCAUAAUGCAUAAUUUAUUUUACCACUAUAUUAGCAGCCCUUUCGGACAAGUUGCUCCUCCAUACUUGGUCAAGUGCGCUUGUGCCAAGCAGCCCACAGCUCACACACACAGCACGCACGCACGCACCCACACCGCAAGCACGCACACACACACACCGCAAACACACUGCACACACACGCAGUUCGCGCUGACGUAGAAGUUGCAAGACGACGGCAGGACUUGCCUUAGCCCACCCUAUCGUUUCGUCCUUUUUUUUUUACACAAACAAUGAGAGAAUGGAUGCAGUACAGCGUACACUCAUGAACAGGCUCAAAUGGGCUUCGAGCGCAACCUUCCUGCAGGAAUCUCUAACCUCUUAUUGGUGGGUGGGCGUCUCCUGUUUGACAAAACCAAAAAUGCAGAACGAACGCACUUAACAUAGUUUCUGCUGUUUUGUCUGUCAAAAAGGCUAGCUAGUCUUUAUCAGAAAAUCCAAGAUUUCCAGCUGUGUUAUAACAUGACCAGGUAAUAAUAAUAAUAAUAAUUGUAAAACCUUGACAUAAUCUGUCAGAUGUCUAUUAAAUGACAAUUGACCACAAGGCGAUUCUAUCCAUGCCUCUUCUUGAAUUGCUUCAUGUCUCAGUCGGCAGAGGCUUGUAAUGCUGCGUAGCAUGAUAAGCAUGAUAAGGUGCAAGGAGCAGUAGAAGUUGACAUGGGUGCUAAUUUUCAGUUAAAAUAAAACGUUGGCAUUAUUUUAUCAGCUGAGGGCAUAUUCAUUGCCAUAACAACGUGAGCUAAUCAACAAGUACAACAUGUUCUAAUACUAUGAGACUCAGGAAAA